rnacentral:rRNA from 1 species
GACGAACGCUGGCGGCGUGCUUAACACAUGCAAGUCGAACGGAAAGGCCCUGCUUUUGUGGGGUUCUCGAGUGGCGAACGGGUGAGUAACACGUGAGUAACCUGCCCUUGACUUUGGGAUAACUUCAGGAAACUGGGGCUAAUACCGGAUAGGAGCUCCUGCUGCAUGGUGGGGGUUGGAAAGUUUCGGCGGUUGGGGAUGGACUCGCGGCUUAUCAGCUUGUUGGUGGGGUAGUGGCUUACCAAGGCUUUGACGGGUAGCCGGCCUGAGAGGGUGACCGGCCACAUUGGGACUGAGAUACGGCGCAGACUCCUACGGGAGGCAGCAGUGGGGAAUAUUGCACAAUGGGCGGAAGCCUGAUGCAGCAACGCCGCGUGCGGGAUGACGGCCUUCGGGUUGUGAACCGCUUUCGCCUGUGACGAAGCGGGAGUGACGGUAAUGGGUAAAGAAGCACCGGCUAACUACGUG